GAGAGACAAAGAGAGAGAAAGAAAGAGAGAAAAAAAGAAAGAAGGAAAGAAAACUCAGCAGAACUUCAUCAUCAUGUAAGCUACUGGGAACAGGAAUGAAAGAGAGAGUUUGCCGCGCAAGACUUUGAUGUGCUUGCAUCUUGAUCAUGCUCCCCCCUCAACACCAGUGUCAGUGCCUGUGUGUAUGGCUGCAGUCGGAGGCCUGCAGAUUGGAAUGCUGAUGAUGGGACGCAGAAGUGCUGAGGAAUGAAUGUGUGCAUGGGAGAUUUUCACAGCUGGACUUCCUCAAGUGGACCACAUGGAAGGAAUGGGCUUUUCAUUUUUUCCACAAAAGAAAUGGAGAAAAAUGGAAAAUUCUACUUAAAAAUAUGGAGAAAACAGAGAAAUCCAUAUUCAAAGAUCUAUUCUUGAACAUAGGAAAAGUUCAAGUCCUGAACACAAGGUACCUUUUAGACACUCAGAUUUGAAGUACAACUAAAUAUUCAUAAAUAAUGAAAAACAAAUAUUAACAACAUUGGAUUCAAUUACAUUUCCAUUGGGCUUUUUUGUCUCACAGACUGUAGUGUCUUAACUGAGGCAGUAAAGACUAUCAAAAAAACUUGACUUUUAAUCUUUCUUGAAUCUCUCCUAUAAUGUUCUUGAAGCAGAAGUCAAGUGAGGGCUUCAGAGAAUCUAAGGAUAGAAAGCAACAAUUUGUCAAUAACAGUUUUUUUUUUUCCUUCUGUGCUUUUUAUAUUCACUGAAAGUGUUCACAAGUUGAAUUUUGUAUCUGUUGAACUAUCUUCUAUCAUUUCCUUUUGGCUAAAGGAGUGCACUCUGACAGGAAGCUUUUCCUGUUGACUUGAUCUAAAUUUAAAUUACUGCAUACCUCAAACCAUGAGAUGUGCUUUCCCAAAUGUCUGACAUUUGAGUCCAGGAAUAGGGCGGCACAUCUGUGAAACUGGAUGAAGAGUUUUGCUCUCUGCAGAAGGAUAAGGAUUGCUAAACUCUAAAUGCCCAUUUGAAAAGUAUGCCAGCUUCAAAGGAGCAAACAUUUCUGCAGAAGGAUUGUACAGAAAUAAACAUUAAAGUUCGAAUAGACUUACUAAUACACCCUGAACUUGUUUUGUUCAUUUAUUUCCAGUGUCUGUUAAAUUUCAGAUAGAUUUAAAGAUUAAAAAGGUCCAUACCAGUACCUUGUUUGUAACUAAAAUACAGUAACUCCUCCUUAUUUUCCAAAAUCGACUGAAGUUUACAUCUGAUCAUAUAGUUUUAAAUCUGUCGCUAAUCUCCAAUAUUUUCAUUGCAUUUGUGUAUGUGAGAUCUGGUCUCUGUGAGAACAGUGCUGCACUAAAGCAAAGAAGAGUCCAUCUCCUGAUCCUGGUCUGAAACACAGAUGAAUUCCAGUCCAGCAGACACACUUGCUCAUUUGGAUUAUAAAUGUUUUUUUUCUUUUUUCUAAGCCACAUACAUGUGAAACCUAGGAAAGGUACUCAUGCUUUGGUUAAGAGAAAUGAGUUUUUAUUUACUUUAAAAUAAAGCUAAAUCUUUAACAAAUCAAUACAAAACAGCCUCACAGAUUUCUUUUUUUUUGUGAGAGUCCUUAAAAUCUUUUUCCCAAGUAUAACUACGUCAUUGUAUUCAGUUGAUAAACUUGUGGAA